rnacentral:rRNA from 1 species
UACAGAGGUCUCAAGCGUUGUUCGGAUUCAUUGGGCGUAAAGGGUGCUUAGGCGGCGCGGUAAGUCGGGUGUGAAAUCUCGGAGCUUAACUCCGAAACUGCAUUCGAUACUGCCGUGCUUGAGGACUGGAGAGGAGACUGGAAUUUACGGUGUAGCGGUGAAAUGCGUAGAUAUCGUAAGGAAGACCAGUGGUGAAGGCGGGUCUCUGGACAGUUCCUGACACUGAGGCACGAAGGCUAGGGGAGCAAACGGG